AAGCAUAUAACUAAGCGGAGGAAAAGAAACUAACAAGGAUUCCCUCAGUAGCGGCGAGCGAAGCGGGAACAGCCCAGGAUGAAAAUCUCUUCGGAGAGUUGUAGUCUGAGCGGCCUUGGGCGGUCAGUGUGGGUAAGUCGUCUGGAAUGACGUACCGCGGAGGGUGAGAGUCCCGUCCAGCCCACACAGGACCUGCCCGCACGAGGUCGCUUCAACCGAGUCGGGUAGCUUGGGAAUGCUGCUCUAAAUGGUGGUAAAUCUCAUCAAAGGCUAAAUAUCGGUGGGAGACCGAUAGCGAACAAGUACCGUGAGGGAAAGAUGGAAAGAACUUUGAAAAGAGAGUGAAAAGCGCUUGAAACCGUCACGAGGGAAGCGCAUUGCGUCAGUGGUGGCGCGCGCGGUUCAGCCCGGCCUCGCGCCGGGUGCACUCUGCGCGCGUCGUGCGUGUGUGGCUGGGCGGCGUGCGAAAGGCAAUUUGUUUUGGCACGACGCCUGGUGAGGGCUCCCCCGCACGGGGUGAGGACACACGCAAAAGGACGCGAUACGACCCGUCUUGAAACACGGACCAAGGAGUCUAGCACGGCUGCGAGUCGAAGGGUGAUCUUGUAAGAAACCCAGAGGGCGCAGUGAAAGCGAAAGAAAGCACAUUGGGGAGGCGUUGCGGUUUUACCAAAAUGUCCUACCUCGAGCAGCUGUGCUGGGACCCGAAAGAUGGUGAACUAUGCCGGAGUAGGGCAAAGCCAGAGGAAACUCUGGUGGAGGCUCGUAGCGAUGCUGACGUGCAAAUCGCUCGUCGAACUUGGGUAUAGGGGCGAAAGACUAAUCGAACCAUCUAGUAGCUGGUUCCCUCCGAAGUUUCUCUCAGGAUAGCGGGCCGACUUUUACAUGUUGUUCUGUGCGGUAAAGCGAAUGAUUAGUGCAUUUGGGGGCCGAAGGUCUUCGGGCGAUUCUCAAACUUUAAAUGCGCAGGGGGGCGGCUGCUUGAAUGAGCCCGCUCUUGUAAAAACGUCGGCUCCGUGGGCCACUUUUGGUAAGCAGAACUGGCGAUAAGGGAUGAACCUUAAGCGCGGUUAAGGCGCCGCAUUGCCCGCUUAUAGACCCCACAAAAGGUGUUGAUUCAUCCAGACAGCAGGACGGUGGCCAUGGAAGUCGGA
rnacentral:rRNA from 1 species